CCAAGGCAACGACGGGUAGCUGGUCUGAGAGGACGAACAGCCACACUGGGACUGAGACACGGCCCAGACUCCUACGGGAGGCAGCAGCAGGGAAUAUUGCACAAUGGGCGAAAGCCUGAUGCAGCGACGCCGCGUGAGGGAUGAAGGCCUUCGGGUUGUAAACCUCUUUCAGGAGGGAAGAAGCGCAAGUGACGGUACCUCCAGAAGAAGCCCCGGCCAACUACGUGCCAGCAGCCGCGGUAAUACGUAGGGGGCGAGCGUUGUCCGGAUUCAUUGGGCGUAAAGAGCUCGUAGGCGGCUCAGUAAGUCGGCCGUGAAAUUCCAGGGCUCAACCCUGGGAGGCCGGUCGAUACUGCUGUGGCUAGGGUCCGGUAGAGGAGAGCGGAAUUCCCGGUGUAGCGGUGAAAUGCGCAGAUAUCGGGAGGAACACCCGUAGCGAAGGCGGCUCUCUGGGCCGGUACCGACGCUGAGGAGCGAAAGCUAGGGGAGCAAACAGGAUUAGAUACCCUGGUAGUCCUAGCUGUAAACGUUGGGCACUAGGUGUGGCGGAUUGAUUGACGUCUGCCGUGCCGUAGCU
rnacentral:rRNA from 1 species